rnacentral:pre_miRNA from 1 species
AGGCAGUGCACUGUUAGCUGGCUGCUUUGUGGGAAUCCAGCAGUCACUACUGCACUGCCAU